GAUGAACGCUGGCGGCGUGCCUAAUACAUGCAAGUCGAGCGAACAGAUGAGGAGCUUGCUCCUCUGACGUUAGCGGCGGACGGGUGAGUAACACGUGGAUAACCUACCUAUAAGACUGGGAUAACUUCGGGAAACCGGAGCUAAUACCGGAUAAUAUAUUGAACCGCAUGAUUCAAUAGUGAAAGACGGUUUUGCUGUCACUUAUAGAUGGAUCCGCGCCGCAUUAGCUAGUUGGUAAGGUAACGGCUUACCAAGGCAACGAUGCGUAGCCGACCUGAGAGGGUGAUCGGCCACACUGGAACUGAGACACGGUCCAGACUCCUACGGGAGGCAGCAGUAGGGAAUCUUCCGCAAUGGGCGAAAGCCUGACGGAGCAACGCCGCGUGAGUGAUGAAGGUCUUCGGAUCGUAAAACUCUGUUAUUAGGGAAGAACAAAUGUGUAAGUAACUAUGCACGUCUUGACGGUACCUAAUCAGAAAGCCACGGCUAACUACGCG
rnacentral:rRNA from 1 species